UAGUUUUCAAAGGAAAAUAUUUCUCCAUAUGCCAGCCUAGAAACAUGUGUGGACAGCAUCUUAAAGAAUAUCUCCUUUUAGAAAAAGUUAAAAUCCAGACCGGACAUGUGCAGGAACAUUCCUUCUGGAACAGACUUAAAUGCUUUCCUGAAAAAAAAAGUCCUAAAAAUGCACCAAACAGUGUGGAUUUAGGACCUGGCCAUGAGAUAUGUAUUUUAGCACUAGAGAAGCUGUUGUCUGGAUAUUCCUCCGAUCUACCACAGCCUUUUGGAUCUCAACCUGGCACAGAGCAGGUUCUCAGACCAGGAUCCCAUCUCACUGCACUCUAUAGCAUAGGGCGCUUCCUUCUACAUCCGAACAAUGCUUCUUGAUCCUGCCUGCAACCUUCUCCAACCCAAGCUUGUACGGUACAGCUCAGGCAUGCUCUGAUUCCACCAUUCCCUAUAUGGGAAAUGCCAUGUUCAUCAGCCAGACAAGUCAGCAGCCUGCACCUGUCACCAAGAUCCACAAGCUCCUUGAUGUGCUGGGCAACUGAAAAUUCAGAAGAGGGU